rnacentral:misc_RNA from 1 species
AUUUGAGAAGCGAGAAGAACACUACACAUUAAAGUUACAGAAGUUGGGAGUGGAUGAACAAAAUGAGACUCAUUAACAUUGCUAAUGCUACCAUAGUUAGUGAUUGAAGGAGCUUAUCUCGGGUUGAGCCGCUCACGCUCAACUGCCCUGCAUUGACGAACUCGUUCUUCCCAGAUGUGACUGAUACAUUUACAGCUUGAGAACAAUCA